UAGAGUUUGAUCAUGGCUCAGGACGAACGCUGGCGGCGUGCUUAACACAUGCAAGUCGAACGGAAAGGCCCUUUCGGGGGUACUCGAGUGGCGAACGGGUGAGUAACACGUGGGUGAUCUGCCCUGCACUUCGGGAUAAGCUUGGGAAACUGGGUCUAAUACCGGAUAGGACUACGGCCUGCAUGGGUUGUGGUGGAAAGCUUUUGCGGUGUGGGAUGGGCCCGCGGCCUAUCAGCUUGUUGGUGGGGUGAUGGCCUACCAAGGCGACGACGGGUAGCCGGCCUGAGAGGGUGUCCGGCCACACUGGGACUGAGAUACGGCCCAGACUCCUACGGGAGGCAGCAGUGGGGAAUAUUGCACAAUGGGCGCAAGCCUGAUGCAGCGACGCCGCGUGGGGGAUGACGGCCUUCGGGUUGUAAACCUCUUUCACCAUCGGCGAAGCCCAUGAUUUUUGUUGUGGGUGACGGUAGGUGGAGAAGAAGCACCGGCCAACUACGUGCCAGCAGCCGCGGUA
rnacentral:rRNA from 1 species